UACAUGUGUAGAAAAUUAAAAGGCAGUAAAUCCUAUAUGAUGUUAAAUUAUUAACUUGCCCUAUUUUCUCUCCUUAUAGGAUUGACCUUUUAGUGGUCUGGAUUAUCCAUUCAUUUUCAAUUAAGUUUCCAUAUGGCAAAUUGAAGCUGACCCUGUUACAAUUAGAAAACUACACGGAAGGAAGGAGCCCAUAAAUAACGCCAAGAUGCAUUUAUCUGGAGCACCUAAUACAUGCUGGGCACAGUUCUAAAUACUGUGGAGGAGGUAGUUCAUGAGUUUCAAGGCAGCCAAGACAACACUGCUAAUGAAGAAGCCAUAACCAGUGGGGUGAACAUUAGCAUUGUUCACAGGAAGUUUCUGGUUCUACCUGGACACACAGCAGGACUGCAAUUCUCUACUCCCUGCAAGUUGAGUGGGGUUAUAUGAUUUACUUUGACCGGUGAGGUAUAAUGUUCUACUCUAGACAGAUGCUUUAUAAGCUGGUGUAUGAUGGGCUACUGUCUUUUUCCCCUCUACCACAGUGAAAGGUAAGUGGUGGCAGAUGCUGGCUGAUCUUUCGGCUUGAUCCUAGAGCCAGGCUGCUGCACAACAGUGCCCUCAGCUGACCCAUGAUAGACCUGUGUGUGAGGGAGAAAUUACCUUGUGUUGGUUUUUUUUUUUUGCGGUACGCAG